GCUGGGUAUGGUGGUGCAUGCCUGUAAUCCCAGCUACUUGGGAGGCUGAGGCAGGAGAAUCUCUUGAACCCAGGAGGCGGAGGUUGCAGUGAGCCGAGAUCGCAGCACUGCACUUCAGCCUGGGUGACAGAGAAAGACUCCGUCUCAA
ensembl:misc_RNA Metazoa_SRP Metazoan signal recognition particle RNA